GACGAACCGUGCGAACGUUAUUCGGAAUCAUUGGGCUUAAAGGGCGCGUAGACGGGCGACCGCGUCGAGUGCUGAAAUCCCCCGGCUCAACCGGGGAACGGGCCUCGAUACGGGUCGCCUCGAGUGGAGGAGGGGGACCCGGAACGUCCGGUGGAGCGGUGAAAUGCGUUGAGAUCGGACGGAACGCCGACGGCGAAAGCAGGGUCCUGGACUCCCACUGACGUUGAGGCGCGAAAGCCAGGGGAGCGAACGGG
rnacentral:rRNA from 1 species